rnacentral:rRNA from 1 species
GCACAAGCAGUGGAGUAUGUGGUUUAAUUCGAAGCAACGCGAAGAACCUUACCAGGUCUUGACAUCCCUCGGACCGGUGCAGAGAUGUGCCUUUCCUUCGGGACUGAGGUGACAGGUGGUGCAUGGUUGUCGUCAGCUCGUGUCGUGAGAUGUUGGGUUAAGUCCCGCAACGAGCGCAACCCUUACGGUUAGUUGAUACGCAAGAUCACUCUAGCCGGACUGCCGUUGACAAAA